rnacentral:rRNA from 1 species
GUCUACGGCCAUGCUACCCUGAACAAGCCGGAUCCCGUCUGAUCUUGGAAGCUAAGCAGGGUCAGGCCUGGCUAGUACCUGGAUGGGAGACCACCUAAGAAGACCAGGUGCUGUAGGCG